UAUUAUCUUCUUCUUUAUGGCGGGCUCGUUGCUAAGGACGCCUCCAUGCAAAACAUAAACAUCCAACAUGAAUUAAGUAAAUAUUUCAAAAGAAAAAUAAAGGAAAGAUGUAUAAAUGUACAACAAAAACAUAAUAAAUGGCAAACACAAGAAAAUAUUGAGUUUUGUGGCAGAUAGAAGCAGCCUCAAAGGCUGUUUUUACUCCGUCACUUGUCAAUAAACUUAUCUCCCCUCCUGCGUCACAACUUGCUCUGCUGAAAUUACCGCACCAUAACCACGUCAUCUGCCCCAAUGAUCUACGGGCCGGAGAACCAGCGCAGAAAAGGAGUAAGUUUAAUUGGUCGCCAGAUGAAACGGUCUUCUUACAUCAAAUUCAUGAAAAAAGACGUAUAAUCAGAGGGUGUUAUGGGAAGAGUAUCACCCCUGAGGAUAAGAAGAGAGCGUGGACUGAAGUGGCAGGAGCUGUAACAAGUGCCUUCCCUGGGAGUGGACCCCGUACGCAGGAUGACUGUGAGAGGCGUUGGUACAACGUACAACAAAAAUCAAAGCCUCGCAUUGCCAAGUGCAAGAAUGAGCAGUGGCAGACUGCCCCACUGCUGUAUUGCUAGAGACCAUCCCAGCACAUUGUUCAUUACUUGUGGAAAAGAUACCAUCAGCUGCUCCGGCAACAGCCACUGUUUCAACAUCUGCUGGCCCUAUGACACCAGCCACUGCUUCAUCAUCUGCUGGCCCAAUGACACCUGCCACCGCAAGGGAUGACAAUGAAGCUGCUCCACCACAGUCACCACGUACUUCAUCGGAGUUAAGAGAUGCCUUUCAUAGGGCAGCAGUAUAAUUUUUUGAUGCUGGGGCUGAAUAUUACUGCCUCAAGGCUAUGAUUGUCACUUUUUUUUUAUUACUGAGGAGGUUAGGGAGGAAGGGGUGAAAAAUAAUCUCUGCUGUUUUUCGACGGAAAAGGUUAGCAAAUUCAUUCAAAGCACAAAAUUUACCAGAAAAAAAAUGGUGUGCCAUUGUGAGUGGGUUCACUUGAGAUUGGUUUCCAAUACGCCUCCAUGGUCUAGUGGUCGGCAUG